CAGCCGCCACGGGAAUACGGAGGGUGCAAGCGUUAAUCGGAAUUACUGGGCGUAAAGCGCACGCAGGCGGUUUGUUAAGUCAGAUGUGAAAUCCCCGGGCUCAACCUGGGAACUGCAUUUGAAACUGGCAAGCUAGAGUCUCGUAGAGGGGGGUAGAAUUCCAGGUGUAGCGGUGAAAUGCGUAGUGAUCUGGAGGAAUACCGGUGGCGAAGGCGGCCCCCUGGACGAAGACUGACGCUCAGGUGCGAAAGCGUGGGGAGCAAACAGGAUUAGAUACCCCUGUAGUCCCUGUCUCUUAUAC
rnacentral:rRNA from 1 species